rnacentral:rRNA from 1 species
CCUACGGGAGGCAGCAGUGGGGAAUAUUGGACAAUGGGCGAAAGCCUGAUCCAGCAAUGCCGCGUGAGUGAUGAAGGCCUUAGGGUCGUAAAGCUCUUUUACCCGGGAUGAUAAUGACAGUACCGGGAGAAUAAGCCCCGGCUAACUCCGUGCCAGCAGCCGCGGUAAUACGGAGGGGGCUAGCGUUGUUCGGAAUUACUGGGCGUAAAGCGUGCGUAGGCGGUUAUUCAAGUCAGAGGUGAAAGCCCGGGGCUCAACCCCGGAACGGCCUUUGAAACUAGGUAGCUAGAAUCUUGGAGAGGUCAGUGGAAUUCCGAGUGUAGAGGUGAAAUUCGUAGAUAUUCGGAAGAACACCAGUGGCGAAGGCGACUGACUGGACAAGUAUUGACGCUGAGGCACGAAAGCGUGGGGAGCAAACAGGAUUAGAUACCCUGGUAGUCCACGCCGUAAACGAUGAUAACUAGCUGUUCGGGUACUUGGUAUCUGUAGUGGUCGCGAGCUACGACAUUAAGUUAUCCGUCCGUCGGGUAGGUACGGUCGCGAGAAUUAAACUUAAAAUUAGUAAGUUAGUACGGACGUGAGACGUGCCGACGGACGACGACGAGGGAGGUAGG